CUAGGGGCACACAGGGAAGAAAGGACAGAAUCAGGUCUCCGAAACAGCCCAGCCUGGCUGGGGAGUGGUGCCAGGCCAUCCUCACUUCCUUGCUGAGACUGGAGAAGGGAGACCUAAGCCCCAGGCACAGGGCAUUGGAUGGUUUACGCAACCGUCAUAUAGUCCGGGGAUGCACCCGUCCCUCAUGAGGUGCAGAAGGCCUGUCUCCAACCUUGAACAUACCCCCAGGG